UACGUAGGGGGCAAGCGUUGUCCGGAAUCAUUGGGCGUAAAGAGCGUGUAGGCGGCCCGGUAAGUCCGCUGUGAAAGUCCAGGGCUCAACCCUGGGAUGCCGGUGGAUACUGUCGGGCUCGAGUCCGGAAGAGGAGUGUGGAAUUCCCGGUGUAGCAGUGAAAUGCGUAGAGAUCGGGAGGAACACCAGUGGCGAAGGCGGCCUUCUGGACCAGUACUGACGCUCAUGCACGAAAGCGUGGGGAGCAAACAGG
rnacentral:rRNA from 1 species